AAGGAUCAGUACUGCACGAAUAGAAGGAUCCUUUACACUAAGUGACCCAUAGGUUGAGGAGGCGGUGACCGUGGCGGUGGAGGUGCAAGCAGCGGUGGAGGAGGAGGUAGCCAACACUGGUGACCACGGGUAAUGGGGAAUCAGGGUUCCAUUCUGCACAGGGACACUGAGAAACAGCUAACAUAUGCAAGGAAGGCAGCAGGCACGCAAAUGACCCACUUCCGAUGCGGGAAGGUAGUGA